GACGAACGCUGGCGGCGUGCCUAAUACAUGCAAGUCGGACGCAGUUGCGAACGUGUGAGUAACGCGUAUGUAACUGCCUAUUAGAGGGGGAUAACUAUUGUAACCGAUAGCUAAUACCGCAUACUAGUAUGUGGAGCUACGUUGUAUUAGCUAGUUGGUAGGGUACUGGCCUACCUAGGCAACGAUCCAUGGCCGACCUGGGAGGGUGAACCGGCACACUGGGACGGGGACACGGGCCAGACCUCUACGGGAGGGAACAGGAGGGAAUCUUUGGAAAUGGGGGGAACCCUGACCGAGCAAAGCCGCGGGAGUGAAGAAGGGUUUCGGAGCGGAAAGCUAUGUUGGUAAGGAAGCGGUACUUAACCAGAAAGGGACGGCUAACUACGUGCCAGCAGCCGCGGUAAUAC
rnacentral:rRNA from 1 species